GCUCAGCUGUGACUCAACAACUAAUCCGGUCGUCGGUGAAACACUGUCCAUAGAGGAGAUUUUAUAUGGGCCAGAGGGUGUUUGUGUCAGGCUUGGAUACAAGGUGCCACACUCUAAAGGUUUGGCCACACCAGCCAUCUCAUUCAUUACACGUACGAUGCGUCCAGUCAGACGUACAGGCGGCCGGGACGCUUUCAGACAAAACGGGGUAAGCUAAUUUAAAGUACGAACGAUUUUUACUAAUACUAUAAAUACUAACACUGCACUUUACAAACUAGUAGCAACGUUAUCGGCUUUUGUAUUGGAUCAGAUGUCUAAUUGACAUACGUGUAAAGUAACUUUACUCAGCGGCUUUAAGGUCUCUCUUAAAACACGUGGUUAGGGUCAGGAGACAUCCAAAGU
ensembl:lncRNA